UGACAUUUCACAUUCAGUCUCCUCUCUACCAACAACCAAAGUCCGACCUGUACACUUUGUCUGAUGACGGCUAUGUGGUCUGCAACGAGGCUAGGAAAAAUCCAACUAACCCAACUAUGAAUUGGGACCUGAAUUUAAGAAGGUAGGCAACUUCUUAAGUCGUAUCAAGUCUAUUUCCAGUAUUGUUGAACUAGACAGCCUAAAGAUGAGUGGUGAUGGUGGUUUGGAUCUGGUAUCACCCUGAAGGACUGGUUCCAAAACUGAGCUUGCUCCAGUUUCAGUUUCAACAGGUUCUCGCACUGAUGCAAUACCAUAUUCUGGGAAAUAUGAUGGGGUAGUUGGCAUGUUGGGUACAAUAGAAGCCAUCAACGUUCUAAA